AGGAGCAAGAGGCCCAGUGGUGGGGCCAGCUCUGGAGCCCUGGAGUCAGCCCCCGCAGGAAUUCCAGAGCUCUCGGUCUGCAGGGCCUGGAGGCUUGGGGCGGG
rnacentral:pre_miRNA from 1 species